rnacentral:rRNA from 1 species
ACGCACGCUGGCGGCGUGCUUAACACAUGCCAGUCGCACGCUGAAGCUUGGUGCUUGCACUGGGUGGAUGAGUGGCGAACGGGUGAGUAAUACGUGAGUAACCUGCCCUUGACUCUGGGAUAAGCCUGGGAAACUGGGUCUAAUACUGGAUACGACAUGUCACCGCAUGGUGGUGUGUGGAAAGGGUUUUACUGGUUUUGGAUGGGCUCACGGCCUAUCAGCUUGUUGGUGGGGUAAUGGCUCACCAAGGCGACGACGGGUAGCCGGCCUGAGAGGGUGACCGGCCACACUGGGACUGAGACACGGCCCAGACUCCUACGGGAGGCAGCAGUGGGGAAUAUUGCACAAUGGGCGGAAGCCUGAUGCAGCGACGCCGCGUGAGGGAUGACGGCCUUCGGGUUGUAAACCUCUUUCAGCACGGAAGAAGCGAAAGUGACGGUACGUGCAGAAGAAGCGCCGGCUAACUACGUG